UAAAGGAAAAGAAGAAGCUGCAUUCUUUGUACCUUCUCGCCAAUCGCAUCUUGAAUUAGUAUUGUGUCAGCAGAUGUACCGAACACUACCUGUCCACCUUUCAUUUCUGUAUCAAAGAAUGCCAUGUCUUGUCUCAAAACCGACUUGAGAUACAAAGAUCGAAAGCGAGCUGCCUGCCUCUCCCCAGUCACGGUCCAGCAUGAUAUCUCUGAUUCAUACAGAAGCAAAAGGGUACCUUGUCGACUCGGGGAAGGAUGGUGUCCCGGGUGGCACCUCCAAAGGCAUCUACCAUCCGCCCGAAGAUGAUCGACAUGACCACCUGUGACAUGCCGCUCGCAAGCGCGGCGACCGUGCCAACCAGCAUCAGCACCACAUCAGCGGCGUCCGCGUUGUUGAACAGGUGUCCACAUCAGAGGAUGACUAGGACACUUGGUGCAUCAGCUCGGUCGUACGCAUCGGUUUGGCUGCGUCAGCUCAGAUGAGCUUAGUAGGCCUCGUCUUGCCUGGCAGUGGCAGGAGGUAUCGCAGGGUGUUCAGCGCCCAGAUUUGUAGCUAGUCGCUCGCGCCACGAUGGCGAUCUGGCAGCUGCUGGAGUGAGCCAAAUGGAAGAUCCCGGAGGACCUGAGCGUUGGAUGCUUGGAGCAUCAGCUCUGUUCGGAUGUGUGUGAGACCUUCUGCAAAUGGCAUGGCCUGGCCCCGUUCUCUUUUUGUUCUUAUCCUUCUUAUGCAGAUUAGGGCAUGGCGUGUAGGACCUAAGUAGGGGGUACUGUGUAUUUCUAUGUUUUUUAGACGAGUGUAUUUGUAUUUGUUUCUGACCGAAGAUAUAUACUAUUCCUUCAUUGAUUAUGUUUGUAUGCGUGGGAAGAAAAUCUCACAUCCAAAUUACAGUAGCGUUAGUUUUUUUU